UAGGGAAUCUUCCACAAUGGGCGCAAGCCUGAUGGAGCAACGCCGCGUGAGUGAUGAAGGCCUUUGGGUUGUAAAACUCUGUCUUCUGUGACGAACAAGCCUGUGAGUGGAAUGCUCAGGCCCUGACGGUAACAGAGGAGGAAGCCACGGCUAACUACGUGCCAGCAGCCGCGGUAAUACGUAGGUGGCAAGCGUUGUCCGGAAUCACUGGGCGUAAAGCGCGCGCAGGCGGCGAUCUACGUCUGGGGUGAAAGCCCGGGGCUCAACCUCGGGACUGCCUUGGAUACGGGAUCGCUUGAGAAUCGGAGAGGCAAGGGGAAUUCCACGUGUAGCGGUGAAAUGCGUAGAGAUGUGGAGGAACACCUGUGGCGAAGGCGCCUUGCUGGCCGAUUUCUGACGCUGAGGCGCGAAAGCGUGGGGAGCAAACAGG
rnacentral:rRNA from 1 species